UACGUAGGGGGCUAGCGUUGUCCGGAUUUAUUGGGCGUAAAGAGCGCGUAGGCGGCCGAGUAAGUCCGACGUGAAAUCUGGAGGCUCAACCUCCAGCGGUCGUUGGAAACUACUCGGCUAGAGUCCGGAAGAGGAGAGUGGAAUUCCUGGUGUAGCGGUGAAAUGCGCAGAUAUCAGGAAGAACACCGAUGGCGAAAGCAGCUCUCUGGGACGGUACUGACGCUGAGGCGCGAAAGCGUGGGGAGCGAACGGG
rnacentral:rRNA from 1 species